UAGGGAAUAUUGCGCAAUGGGGGCAACCCUGACGCAGCAACUCCACGUGUGGGAUGACGCAUUUCGGUGUGUAAACCACUGUCGAGAGGGAAUAAGGCGCAGUUUCGACUGCGUUGAAUGUACCUUUAAAGGAAGCACCGGCAAACUUCGUGCCAGCAGCCGCGGUAAUACGAGGGGUGCAAGCGUUGUUCGGAAUCACUGGGCGUAAAGGGAGCGUAGGCGGAUAGUCAAGCGUUCUGUGCAAUCUCGGGGCCCAACCCCGAACACGCAGAGCGAACUGAUUAUCUUGAGUAGUUCAGAGGUUGGCGGAAUUCCUGGUGUAGCGGUGGAAUGCGUAGAUAUCAGGAGGAACACCAGUGGCGAAGGCGGCUUUCUGGACUGUAACUGACGCUGAGGCUCGAAAGCGUGGGGAGCGAACAGGAUUAGAUA
rnacentral:rRNA from 1 species